rnacentral:rRNA from 1 species
AUUGAACGCUGGCGGCAGGCCUAACACAUGCAAGUCGAACGAGUGGCGGACGGGUGAGUAAUGUCUGGGAAACUGCCCGAUGGAGGGGGAUAACUACUGGAAACGGUAGCUCAUACCGCAUACCAUCGGAUGUGCCCAGAUGGGAUUAGCUAGUAGGUGGGGUAACUGCUCACCUAGGCGACGAUCCCUAGCUGGUCUGAGAGGAUGACCCGCCACACUGGAACUGAGACACUGUUCAGACUCCUACGGGAGGCAGCAGUGGGGAACCUUGCACAUCGGGCGCAAGGCCAGUGCAGUAUUGGAGACUGAGUGAAGGAGGCUUUCGGGGUGUAAAGUAGAUGCAGCGAGGAGGCGUUACUCGAAGAAGAAGCCCCGGCUACGUCCGCGGCAGCAGCCGCGGUAAUAC